GACGAACGCUGGCGGCAUGCCUAACACAUGCAAGUCGAACGAUUGCCUUCGGGUGAUAGUGGCGCACGGGUGCGUAACGCGUGGGAAUCUGCCCUUAGGUUCGGAAUAACAGCUGGAAACGGCUGCUAAUACCGGAUGAUAUCGCGAGAUCAAAGAUUUAUCGCCUAAGGAUGAGCCCGCGUUGGAUUAGGUAGUUGGUGGGGUAAAGGCCUACCAAGCCGACGAUCCAUAGCUGGUCUGAGAGGAUGAUCAGCCACACUGGGACUGAGACACGGCCCAGACUCCUACGGGAGGCAGCAGUGGGGAAUAUUGGACAAUGGGCGCAAGCCUGAUCCAGCAAUGCCGCGUGAGUGAUGAAGGCCCUAGGGUUGUAAAGCUCUUUUACCCGGGAAGAUAAUGACUGUACCGGGAGAAUAAGCCCCGGCUAACUCCGUG
rnacentral:rRNA from 1 species